UACGAAGGGACCUAGCGUAGUUCGGAAUUACUGGGCUUAAAGAGUUCGUAGGUGGUUGAAAAAGUUGGUGGUGAAAUCCCAGAGCUUAACUCUGGAACUGCCAUCAAAACUUUUCAGCUAGAGUAUGAUAGAGGAAAGCAGAAUUUCUAGUGUAGAGGUGAAAUUCGUAGAUAUUAGAAAGAAUACCAAUUGCGAAGGCAGCUUUCUGGAUCAUUACUGACACUGAGGAACGAAAGCAUGGGUAGCGAAGAGGAUUAGAUACCCUCGUAGUCCAUGCCGUAAACGAUGUGUGUUAGACGUUGGAAAUUUAUUUUCAGUGUCGCAGCGAAAGCGAUAAACACACCGCCUGGGGAGUACGAUCGCAAGGUUAAAACUCAAAUGAAUUGACGGGGACCCGCACAAGUAGUGGAGCAUGUGGUUUAAUUCGAAGAUACGCGCAGAACCUUACCAACACUUGACAUGUUCGUCGCGACUCUAAGAGAUUAGAGUUUUCGGUUCGGCCGGACGAAACACAGGUGCUGCAUGGCUGUCGUCAGCUCGUGUCGUGAGAUGUUGGGUUAAGUCCCGCAACGAGCGCAACCCUCACUUUUAGUUGCCAUCAUUAAGUUGGGCACUCUGAAAGAACUGCCAGUGAUAAGCUGGAGGAAGGUGGGGAUGACGUCAAGUCCUCAUGGCCCUUACGUGUUGGGCUACACACGUGCUACAAUGGUAUCUACAACAGGAAGCAAGACUGCGAAGUUAAGCAAAUCCCUAAAAGAUACCUCAGUUCGGAUUGCACUCUGCAACUCGAGUGCAUGAAGCUGGAAUUACUAGUAAUCGUGGAUCAGCGUGCCACGGUGAAUGCGUUCCCGGGUCU
rnacentral:rRNA from 1 species